rfam:Hordeum vulgare subsp. vulgare, WGS project CAJW01000000 data, contig: morex_contig_1899351
UUUAUACUCCCUCCCUUUCAAAAUUCUUGUCUUAGAUUUAUUUAGAUAUGAAUGUAUCUAGUCAACUUUUAGUAUUUAGAUACAUCCNNNUCUAGACAAAGCUAAGACAAGAAUUAUGGAACGGAGGGAGUAUAAG